GACGAACGCUGGCGGCGUGCUUAACACAUGCAAGUCGAACGGAAAGGCCCUGCUUUUGUGGGGCGCUCGAGUGGCGAACGGGUGAGUAACACGUGAGUAACCUGCCCUUGACUUUGGGAUAACUUCAGGAAACUGGGGCUAAUACCGGAUAGGAGCUCCUGCUGCAUGGUGGGGGUUGGAAAGUUUCGGCGGUUGGGGAUGGACUCGCGGCUUAUCAGCUUGUUGGUGGGGUAGUGGCUUACCAAGGCUUUGACGGGUAGCCGGCCUGAGAGGGUGACCGGCCACAUUGGGACUGAGAUACGGCCCAGACUCCUACGGGAGGCAGCAGUGGGGAAUAUUGCACAAUGGGCGGAAGCCUGAUGCAGCAACGCCGCGUGCGGGAUGACGGCCUUCGGGUUGUAAACCGCUUUCGCCUGUGACGAAGCGUGAGUGACGGUAAUGGGUAAAGAAGCACCGGCUAACUACGUGCCAGCAGCCGCGGUGAUACGUAGGGUGCGAGCGUUGUCCGGAUUUAUUGGGCGUAAAGGGCUCGUAGGUGGUUGAUCGCGUCGGAAGUGUAAUCUUGGGGCUUAACCCUGAGCGUGCUUUCGAUACGGGUUGACUUGAGGAAGGUAGGGGAGAAUGGAAUUCCUGGUGGAGCGGUGGAAUGCGCAGAUAUCAGGAGGAACACCAGUGGCGAAGGCGGUUCUCUGGGCCUUUCCUGACGCUGAGGAGCGAAAGCGUGGGGAGCGAACAGGCUUAGAUACCCUGGUAGUCCACGCUGUAAACGGUGGGUACUAGGUGUGGGGUCCAUUCCACGGGUUCCGUGCCGUAGCUAACGCUUUAAGUACCCCGCCUGGGGAGUACGGCCGCAAGGCUAAAACUCAAAGGAAUUGACGGGGCCCCGCACAAGCGGCGGAGCAUGCGGAUUAAUUCGAUGCAACGCGUAGAACCUUACCUGGGUUUGACAUGGAUCGGGAGUGCUCAGAGAUGGGUGUGCCUCUUUUGGGGUCGGUUCACAGGUGGUGCAUGCCUGUCGUCAGCUCGUGUCGUGAGAUGUUGGGUUAAGUCCCGCAACGAGCGCAACCCUUGUUCACUGUUGCCAGCACGUUAUGGUGGGGACUCAGUGGAGACCGCCGGGGUCAACUCGGAGGAAGGUGGGGAUGACGUCAAGUCAUCAUGCCCCUUAUGUCCAGGGCUUCACGCAUGCUACAAUGGCUGGUACAGAGAGUGGCGAGCCUGUGAGGGUGAGCGAAUCUCGGAAAGCCGGUCUCAGUUCGGAUUGGGGUCUGCAACUCGACCUCAUGAAGUCGGAGUCGCUAGUAAUCGCAGAUCAGCAACGCUGCGGUGAAUAAAUUCCCGGGGCU
rnacentral:rRNA from 1 species